ACAAAAAUAGUAAAAAGUAGAUCGGCAUCGUAUGUAUCGAGCGUUGUUCUUUGUCCAAUAAAACAGGGAAAGUCCAAGGUUUCACGGGUUCUACGGUUUGUUUUGUUGGACUGUGCAUUUAAAUUUGGCGAUUCCUUUAAAUGGAGAGGCUUGGUCACGUGGGGCGUUCCAGUUGGCGACUAGUUCACGAGGCGCUCCGAGAGAUGGCGAAACCCUCUUGUGCUGCCCUCGGUGGAGAAUGCAGUCAGCUAACGCACUUACCCUCAACAGCGGUUCAUUUCUGAUAAUAUCAGAGAUGAUCUCUGGUACUAGCGAUGGCCGACCCCAUGCUUUCCGCAAUCAAGGCACAGAUGAUACAUGUGCUAAAGAACAUGGAGAAUCUAAAGAGUUCCAUUGGCUG